rnacentral:rRNA from 1 species
GACGAACGCUGGCGGCGUGCUUAACACAUGCAAGUCGAACGGAAAGGCCCUGCUUUUGUGGUGUGCUCGAGUGGCGAACGGGUGAGUAACACGUGAGUAACCUGCCCUUGACUUUGGGAUAACUUCAGGAAACUGGGGCUAAUACCGGAUAGGAGCUCCUGCUGCAUGGUGGGGGUUGGAAAGUUUCGGCGGUUGGGGAUGGACUCGCGGCUUAUCAGCUUGUUGGUGGGGUAGUGGCUUACCAAGGCUUUGACGGGUAGCCGGCCUGAGAGGGUGACCGGCCACAUUGGGACUGAGAUACGGCCCAGACUCCUACGGGAGGCAGCAGUGGGGAAUAUUGCACAAUGGGCGGAAGCCUGAUGCAGCAACGCCGCGUGAGGGAUGACGGCCUUCGGGUUGUAAACCGCUUUCGCCUGUGACGAAGCGUGAGUGACGGUAAUGGGUAAAGAAGCACCGGCUAACUACGUG